ensembl:lncRNA
GGUGGGAGGGUGGGAGAAGGAGCUGAUUCAAAGAGCUAGUGCCCAGGGGGGAAAUAGCAACAAGAUUACGGCUGCUUCUCUCUAAGGCAAAGCUUAAGAAGGUGCUAAUCCACUCGGUCGCUAAUUGAGAGGUUGUAAAAAUGAUAUUCGCCUCCAAUUCGGACAGUCUCUAGGAUUCCUCCCCCCGCCGCUUAUGCUCAGUGGACUUGAGUUGGAGCUUCUUUACUGAUUGUUACGAAGUAAAGGGAGAGAGAAAAAGAAUGCAGGCUCUCGCUGGUCUGGGAUGGGCCCGCUGCCUCGCUGCCUGGGAUCCUCUGAAAGUCGCGGUCCUACGAAGUCUCGCACAGAAGGCGCCGACCGGGGCGCCCAUCGCCACCUCCUUAGCUUCUUUGGUUUGGGUUUUCUCCCGGCGCUGUAUGGCUCCUGGGCCGCUGGAAGGGCCUUCCGCAGGCCGAGAUGGUGAUCGGGUUGUGCUACCCCAACUCUGGUCCAGAAAGGGGAGACCUCCCAGCUCACCCCGCAGCUCUGCCCGGCCUCUCCGCUGCGGCGUUAGUGGGCGCAGGUAGGGGAGGAGAACGUAAGACCCACGUUAGGCCCGGAGCCGGCCCAAGGCAGCCUGCAGCCUCCUCGGGGUCCCAGCUCCCGGGGCAGCCGUCGCGCCGCGUGUCAGCGCUGAAGGGGAAUUGCCUCCGUGGACUGAGCAGACCCAGGAGAGGGAACCGUCGUGCGAAAGACUCACACACCACAGAAGAUAACUGGUGGCACACACGGAUACACGCUGACACGCCGACAUCGCGAGCGAGCGAGAACGCGCGCGCAACACACACACACACACACACACACACACACUCUCCCAGCAUUGGUCGUUUCCCUCCACUCCAGGCCUCCACCCCCCUUCUUAUCUCCCCCUUGCGUCCCCUCCUCUCGGGCGCCUGGAAAAACAGCCGCACUGUCAACAAAUGGCACGUGGGAGAAGUUGGUGAGUGUUUGGUGAGGACUCUUCAGGCUUUUCACAAGAACCCUCUGUACACAAAGUAAGUGGCGUGUUUGCUCGGGCCUCUCCAGCCCCGGCUGUGCCUCCGCUCCACUGCGCACCGCGCCUUCCGAAAGGAGAACGAACAGAAGAAAGGGCCGGGGGAGCGAGGGUCGGGGAAUGGGCAGGCCCCAAAGGCCUGCACUGGGAAGGCCGCCUGGCCUCGCCAAGUGCCCGGCCGGGCGGCCUCCUCUCGGCCUAAGCUUCGCCUUAGCCUCAGCGCGAGUGUGGCUGCCGGGACCCAGUGACGCUAACGCCCUUUUCUCGUCGUCUUCUCCGCGGCCAGGUGGGCUAGGGCGCGGCCACUGCGGUGUUCGCGUCCCAGGGUCCAGACGGAGAUGGGGUAGGGACGCGAGGGGAGGGCGGGCGGAGACGGGGCAGCAGGCCACGCUGCACAGGAGUUGGCAAGAAAGAGAAGCGCGCAGCUACAGAAACUUGCUCCAUCCAUGAGCUGUGAGUCCCGCGCCCAGCUGAAGUGUGUGGGAGGCGCGACCCCCAGCUCAGCGGCCUUCACUCCACCCCUCAAGUUCGCGGCCACAGAGCUGGCCGCGCUGAUUCCCGGAGUGCUCUGAGCCUUAGAGAUGUCGCGAGCGCCAGCCCCAGAGCCCAGGCGCGGGGGGCCCAGCGCCGGGGAGAGCAGCGGGGACACACCGGCGGGGCC